ACCCUUCUAUAUUUAAACUAUUUAGGUAGUAUUAUCUUAUUAAGAAACCUAUGCAGUUUGGCGGCAUUAAUUCACUUUAGAGGAACCUGUCUUUUAAUCGAUACCCCACGAUAAUUUUUACUUAUAUUUACAUUUUAUAUACCUCCAUCUUAAGGGUUAAUAUUUAUAUUCUCCCCUAAAGAGGUGUCUAAUAAGUUAGGUAAAGGUGUAGACUAUAUAUAAGUUAAGGUGGGUUACUAUAAAUCCAAUUUAAGGAAAUUUACAUUAAAUUAUAAAUAGAAAAAGGAUUUAUUAGUAAUUUAGGAAAAUUAAUCCCUCUUGAAAUUGAUAAACAAUGUGUACACAUC
rnacentral:rRNA from 1 species